rnacentral:rRNA from 1 species
CAACUCGACUACACGAAGCUGGAAUCGCUAGUAAUCGCGAAUCAGAAUGUCGCGGUGAAUACGUUCCCGGGUCUUGUACACACCGCCCGUCACACCAUGGGAGUUGGGAAUGCCCGAAGUCAGUGACCCAACCAAAAGGAGGGAGCCGUCGAAGGCAGGUCUGAUAACUGGGGUGAAGUCGUAACAAGGUAUC